rnacentral:rRNA from 1 species
CAGCCGCCACGGGAACACGGAGGGUGCAAGCGUUAAUCGGAAUUACUGGGCGUAAAGCGCACGCAGGCGGUCUGACAAGUCAGAUGUGAAAUCCCCGGGCUUAACCUGGGAACUGCAUUUGAAACUGUCAGGCUGGAGUCUUGUAGAGGGGGGUGGAAUUCCAGGUGUAGCGGUGAAAUGCGUAGAGAUCUGGAGGAAUACCGGUGGCGAAGGCGGCCCCCUGGACAAAGACUGACGCUCAGGUGCGAAAGCGUGGGGAGCAAACAGGAUUAGAUACCCGCGUAGUCCCUGUCUCUUAUAC